rnacentral:rRNA from 1 species
AGUGAACGUUGGCGGCGUGGAUUAGGCAUGCAAGUCGAUCGAGAACCGUAGCAAUACGGGGACAGCGGCGAAAGGGACAGUAAUGUGUAGGUACCUACCCCGACGUCUGGGAUAGCUGCGGGAAACUGCAGGUAAUACCGGAUAAUGUCUUCGGACCAAAGGUGUGAUUCCACCUUGGGAGGGGCCUGCAUCCUAUUAGCUAGUUGGCGGGGUAAUGGCCCACCAAGGCAACGAUGGGUAGCGGGUGUGAGAGCACGACCUGCGUCAUUGGGACUGAGACACCGCCCAGACACCUACGGGUGGAUGCAGUCGAGGAUCUUCGGCAAUGGGCGAAAGCCUGACCGAGCGUCGCCGCGUGCGGGAUGAAGGCCUUCGGGUUGUAAACCGCUGUCGUAGAGGAGGAAAUGCAGGGGGGUUCUCCCUUCUGUUUGACCUAUUCUAGGAGGAAGGACGGGCUAAGUUCGUGCCAGCCGCCGCAGUAA